ACGCUCGACACCUACGGGAGGCGGCAGUGGGGAAUAUUGCACAAUGGGGGAAACCCUGAUGCAGCGACGCCGCGUGAGUGAAGAAGUAUUUCGGUAUGUAAAGCUCUAUCAGCAGGGAAGAAGAUGACGGUACCUGAGUAAGAAGCCCCGGCUAACUACGUGCCGGCAGCUGCGGUAAUCUGAGCGGGCUGGCAAGGC
rnacentral:rRNA from 1 species